UCUCCGUUGGUGAACCAGCGGAGGGAUCAUUACCGAGUUUACAACUCCCAAACCCCUGUGAACAUACCAUUUGUUGCCUCGGCGGUGCCUGCUUCGGCAGCCCGCCAGAGGACCCAAACCCUUGAUUUUAUACAGUAUCUUCUGAAUAAAUGAUUAAAUAAAUCAAAACUUUCAACAACGGUUCUCUUGGUUCUG
rnacentral:misc_RNA from 1 species